AUACGUAGGGGGCGAGCGUUGUCCGGAAUGAUUGGGCGUAAAGGGCGCGUAGGCGGCCUGUUAAGUCUGGAGUGAAAGUCCUGUUUUCAAGAUGGGAAUUGCUUUGGAUACUGAUGGGCUUGAGUGCAGGAGAGGUUAUCGGAAUUCCCGGUGUAGCGGUGAAAUGCGUAGAGAUCGGGAGGAACACCAGUGGCGAAGGCGGGUAACUGGACUGCAACUGACGCUGAGGCGCGAAAGUGUAGGGAGCAAACAGGAUUAGAUACCCUGGUAGUCCACACUGUAAACGAUGAAUGCUAGGUGUAAGAGGUAUCGACCCCUUUUGUGCCGGAGUUAACACAAUAAGCAUUCCGCCUGGGGAGUACGGCCGCAAGGUUGAAACUCAAAUGAAUUGACGGGG
rnacentral:rRNA from 1 species